rnacentral:rRNA from 1 species
AGUGAACGCUGGCGGUAGGCCUAACACAUGCAAGUCGAACGGCAGCACAGGAGAGCUUGCUCUCUGGGUGGCGAGUGGCGGACGGGUGAGGAAUACAUCGGAAUCUACUCUGUCGUGGGGGAUAACGUAGGGAAACUUACGCUAAUACCGCAUACGACCUACGGGUGAAAGCAGGGGACCUUCGGGCCUUGCGCGAUUGAAUGAGCCGAUGUCGGAUUAGCUAGUUGGCGGGGUAAAGGCCCACCAAGGCGGCGAUCCGUAGCUGGUCUGAGAGGAAGAUCAGCCGCACGGGAACUGGGACACGGUCCAGACCCCUACGGGAGGCAGCAGUGGGGAAUAUUGGACAAUGGGCGCCAGCCUGAUCCAGCCAUACCGCGUGGGUGAAGAAGGCCUUCGGGUUGUAAAGCCCUUUUGUUGGGAAAGAAAUCCAGCUGGCUAAUACCCGGUUGGGAUGACGGUACCCAAAGAAUAAGCACCGGCUAACUUCGUGCCAGCCGCCGCCGUAA